AAAUUUAAUUCCAUCUAAACUUUUUGACAGAAUAUAUUUCCUUUUUUAAUAUGAAAAAUUACGGUCGCAAACUCGCAAUAAACUAAUUUCUGAAAAUGAUUACUUCAUAAAUUUGCAGUCCUUCGACUCCAAUUUUUUUAUUUUAGAAAUCUCUACAUUCAAAAUCUUCUUCUUCGUCUUCGUUUAUAUCGCGUAUUCACCUUCUAAUCCUAAGUUUCAGUGUCACAUUCUUCGAAACCCUAAGUUUCACCAUCACCUUCUAAACCCUAAGUAGUCGUUUAUAACAGCAAAUUGUCAUCUGUUUCAGAAAAUAUAUUAUAGCGUUUGAGGUGCGAUUUUCAGGUGCGAUUUUCAGGUACAAUUUCCAGGUGCAAUUUUCAGGUAGGAUUUGGAGGAGCGAUUUUCAGAGGCGAUAUAUAGUCCUUUCUCUCUAUAAAUCGUUGAUGAUUUUCAGAUACUGCCGUUCAUCGCCCAAACUGAAACGUUGUCUGAGAUAGAAGAUUAUAUUCUGGAGAGAGUUCUUGAGCCACACAGACAACAUUACACAUGAAACUUACAGAGACUCAAGAUGAUCUAGUCACUUUGCAGGUUUAGCUAUGUCCUACUUUAAAUCUUUGUUUCCUCUGAACUUUAUAUUGCCUGUAUGAGCUUUGAUUUUUAAUAUAUUAUGACAUGCUCGAAGCCUAUGUUAAAUGUUUGCAUCAAAGAGAUUUUAUGUACUGGAUUUGUGUUUCUGCAAUGGGUAUGAUGCUGCUCAUGCAGAUGUGGAGCUUCUUUAUGGAUAAGUCUUCUAUGGAUAUGAUUUGUAGUAGCUGGGUCAGGGGAGAUGGAAGUGGAAACCAAGAGAGAAACACUGGAGUUAAAAGAGAUAAUUUCAUACUUGGAGGUCCAUCAGAUUAUCAAUAUUUUUCAGAGGAUUCUUGGUAGAGGAGAAUUUGGAACAGAUACCAUGGUUACUUGGAUUAUCAUGAAGUUGCUGUGAAGAUGCUCUCUUCAUCCUCUAUUCAAAGGUGUAAAGAGUUCCAGGCAGAGGAGCUUUUGUGCCAACGUUUGCUAACAGAUCCUUAGAAGGUAAAUUAUACUAUUUAAGAAGGUAAUUCAUGCCUACAAAAUCCUGAAAUUGAAUAUGUUGUCGUAAAUUACAUAUGCUUGUUGUUCUUUCAGGAGUUAAAGCUGUCUUUAGUUUGAAGGUAUGUAACAAUGCUAGUUAAUUAUGUUUUUAUUAUUUCUAUGUUGAGAAAUCAAAUUAUCAUUUAAAUGGGUGUCCUUGAAAAUAUAUAUGUGCAAGGUUAAUUGACAGGAACCAAGUGAUACAUAAUGACUUUGAUGAUAAGCUUAUUUGCUUAUAAUAUAUGAAUUUGCAGGUUUGUACUACAUUUCCUUUCUCUUUUCAGUUCUCCACUCGUUGUAUAAAUAACCUCUUGAUAAUGCAAGACUGAUAAUGCUAUUAUUUUCGCUUUGCAGGUACUAAUAGAUAAUGCUAUUACUUUCACGUUCUAGGAAUAUCAUUCUCCAGCACAGGACAUUACUCGCUAAAGCAUUCUCACAAUUUGGCAAAAUUAUAUAAGCCAACAAUAUAUUACAGGGUUAUGGUUACGUGACUUUUUCUACUGAAGAUGAAGCUAAAGAGGCUUUGAUCCAGAUGAAUGAGGAGGUAAACUAAUUUCAAUUUUUAGUCUGGAUUAAUUUAGUUUAAUUUGUAGUCUUUCUCUUUCAUCCAAUGUGCAGAGCUAGUGUGCUAUAAAGCCUAAAAUUAUAAUGAGAUCACCAAAGUCUUGAAGUCUAAUGGCAUACAUGUGUGUAUAUAAUGAUGGUCGAGGGUCAAUUCCAUUGGAGUAUCGCCUAAAGUGCCGCGACUGCUUCAUGAAUCAAAGAUAAAAUGAUUUUCUAGUUUUGUCACAAGAGACUUUAGAUUCUUUUUUUCCAACAAUGUCUUAUGUUAGAUUGGCAUUAUUUAUGU